UACGAAGGGGGGCUAGCGUUGCUCGGAAUUACUGGGCGUAAAGGGAGCGUAGGCGGACUGUUAAGUUAGAGGUGAAAGCCCAGGGCUCAACCUUGGAAUUGCCUUUGAUACUGGCAGUCUUGAGUACGGAAGAGGUAUGUGGAACUCCGAGUGUAGAGGUGAAAUUCGUAGAUAUUCGGAAGAACACCAGUGGCGAAGGCGACUCGCUGGACUGAUACUGACGCUGAGGUGCGAAAGCGUGGGGAGCAAACAGG
rnacentral:rRNA from 1 species